UUUUUCAUUUUGUUUUAAUUUUUUUCUCUAUCGCCAAAUUUUCAAAUAUUUACUCCUGUAUUUCCUUUCUCUCUCUUUUUUUUAGCUUUAAUUCACCUGCAUUAUAUGAUUGUGCAUGGUGUCUGAUAGUGGCUCAGUUUCAGUUUUUUUUUUAAUUGUUUCCGAAGCGUGUUUUAAAUAUUUGACUGUUUUCCCAGUGGUCUGAAUAGCGCUUCUCAGAUAUAGCAAGUAUCUAGGUUUGCAUGAGUCAGCCUCUGUGCCCUCUGUUCUUUUCCCCUGAUGUUCCUUUUGCUGCUUCUUUUGCCAAUACCUCACUGUCUUAAUUACUAUAUUUUAUUAACAAAUCUCAGUUUCUGGUAGACCAUUUCCUUCACCUAGUUCCUCACUUUCCUUCAGGAAUGUCUUGGAUAUUUGUAACUCUUUUCCUUAUGAUUUAGCAUCAGUUUGACAAGUUUAAUAAACCUUGUUAGGACUGAGAUAAUUUAGAAAGAUUGGACAUCUUUAAGGUAUUGAGUUCUCCUAGCUAGGAAUGUGGCACAUUUCACUAUUUCUUUAGUGAAUUGUAAACUGUCUUUUUAUAAAGUUUUAUAAUGUUCCCCAUAAAGAUCUUUAAAAUAUUUUGCUAGAUAAAUCUAACACCUUAUAUAUUUUGUUACUCUUGUAAAAGGUACCCAUUUUUCAAAACCACAUUUUCUCUUUGUUGCUUGGGUAUAGAAAUAAAAUCAAAUUUUAAUUUAUCUUAUAUCUGAUAAUUUUGUUAAACCCUCAUAUUAAUUUUAAUGCUUUAAAGAUGUUUGGAGGGAAAUAUUUUAUAAAUAUAAUACACAAAUAAUACCAUUUUGUGUGUUGCUUACAGAUUUUCUCAUCUUAUUGAACUGGCUAGAGCCCUCAACGUAUGGUGUAAAAGCAACCUUAUCUUAAUCCUUUUUGAAAGGGAAUGUUCCAGAUUCUACCAUUUGGUACCAUGUUUGCUCUAAGAUUUUGGUGGACAACCGUCUCCCACUGUCUCCCGGUGCCAUCUCUAAUCUUACAGCCUCGCUGGAGUUAUCCAAGGUCCUGAAGACACCCCAGUGACACUCCCCAGUCUCCAGUUUGAAGGUUGCAGUUCAGGGAUCAGACCAUCUCUCCAGGCAACAAACAUCUGCACCAGCUGGACUGCUGCUACUGCGCGGGGUGGGGUGUGAUGGACAGUGGGGUCCUGUACUACGGGCCUGUCGUCCUGGGUCUGUUCUGCCCAGUGGACCCGUCCAGGCUGCUGCAGGAGUGGCGAUGCUCAUGCCACUUGGCCACUUGACCUUGCUCUGCAUGACCAAAUGACCACCAUCGUUUAAUGGUUGCAUCACAUUCCAUCACAUGGUCAAUAGUCGUUUUUCUCUACUUUUUUAUUGUUAGGUAUUGCCUUUUUUUUUUUUUUCUUGUUUCUUUCAAUGAUAAAUGCUGGUUUGAUGAAUGUGGUAUACAUUUAUUUUGUUUGUGUUUUGCAUUAUUCCUGAGGAAGAACAGAUUUUUCAUUGUAGAAAUACUGAUUCAGAAGCUCUGCAUGUUUUUAAGCUUCAUAUGCAUAAUACUGAGUUGCUUUCUGCAGAAGUUAGCCCAGCAGCAUAUAACCAUGCCUCUUUUUUCCCAUUCUCUUCAGCGCUGUUUUAAUAGCAUUAAAUAUUUGUCCCUUGUAAUAGUGCAAAAUUGUGUCCCUAUGUUUCAGUCCUCUCUCCUUUGAUUACUAGAAAUGUUGAAGUGUUUUCAUUAUUAAGCACAGGUAUAAAUCCAUUUCUACAGUUUUGCUAACUUUUCUUGGGUUGGUAAUAUCUUUAUCACCAAUGUAUGUGAACUUAAAUUAUAGGAAGUUUAUUAAACCUUUGUGAUGUAUUUGUUAUAAACAUUUUUCUGAAUUAUUAGAUAAGUUAUAAUUUGGUUAAUUAUGUGUGUUGGCCCACAUAAGUUUAAAAUUGCUAUGUACUCAAAAUUUUUCCAUUGUGAUUUACUUAAUACAUUUUCACACUUAGAUAUUUCUUCCUUGUCCACUGUUGCUUACGCUUUCUUAGAAUUUAUUAUGUCCUUAUGUAUUUAAUGCUUUUAUUUUAGUAAAUGGUGAAAAUAAAAAUCAAAACCCUU